GUCAAGAUACUUGGGGUGCACAU
rnacentral:snRNA from 1 species